GUACUGUUCACGCAGUACAUAUUAUACUAAAAUUGGAACGAUACAGAGAAGCUCAGCGUGGCGCUUGCGCAAGGAUGGCAUGCAAAUUUGGGAAGCGUUCCAUAUUUUU